GUCGCCUACACGAAGGCUGGAGAGUCCAGAUAAAACAAGUCUAGAGCAAUGUCAAACCUGAAGACAAAUAGCAAAUGAAUGAAAACUCUCAAGGCACCCGUGCUGAACUUUCAAAACCAUGACUAAGCAUAUAAUACAUUUCUCAAAUUUGAGUUCUUUCUGAAAUUUAAUCUCAAAGAGAGAAGAAGAACCCACCACAAAUUCUUCAAGAAUGGGGCUUUUCUCUCUAACCAUGGCGGGUGGAUGUUUCAUUAUGAUUGGUGCAUGGGAAUCUUUCACCUCCUCUACCUCAAAUCCGAGCCUAAGCUCAGUCUCUUCUUCUAUGUUUGAUCGAAUGACAAAAUCAACCACCCAAAACAACCCAAAUCCGAAAGAUCAUUCCUUUUCUUUAGUUUACAUCGUCAUCACUGUCUUUUCUUUUCUCUUCCUUAUUGAUUCUCUAAUCUCACUUUUCUACGCUAUCAACUCACAAGAUGGAAUUGGCUCCGCCCUCCAGUUGCAAGUUCUUGCUGUUGCCGCGCAUUUUUCCUUGUACUCAAUUUUAGGUCUGGCAUCGAAUUUUUCAAGUUCUGUUCGUUUCCCUUCUUCGCUUCUUGAUUUGAUCCUUCUAUUCGCUUUCGUAGAGGAGUUCUUGUUGUAUUACCUGCAGAGGAAGGACACAAGUGGAAUUGAGAACAGGUAUUUUGAUCUUUUGCUUGUUCCCAUUGCGAUUUGUGUUUUUUCUACGAUUCUGGAGUUAAAGUCUUCCUCAAAAUCGAAUAAUUAUGCAAGAAUGGCCCGUGGGGUUGGGUUGAUUUUGCAAGGCAUGUGGUUUGUGCAAAUGGGUAUAUCCUUUUACACCAAUAUGAUCGUUCAUGGUUGCUCUUGCAUGAAAAGAGCAGAGGGGAUUACACUAUAAAAUGUAAAGGGCACUCCGAUUACCAUUGGGCCAGAGGGAUCGCUACGCUUCAGUUCAACUGCCAUCUUGCUUUGCUUGUGGUUUUGUUGACAACUGUGCACUCCGUUAUGGCUAAAAAGAAUAGGGAUCAUAGUAAUUUUAAGCAGUAUAAGCCUCUUGGGGCGGAGAUGCAGAACAAUGAGCACUUCACUUUGGAUUCUGAUGAGGAUGAGAUUAGAGAAGAGGAGAAUGCGGUUAAGGACAAGUUAGCUGUAGUGGAAAUGGUUGCUAACUAGUGGAAAUGGUUGUAAACGGUCAUGAGUGAGGUAAUUCUAGAGGUUUAUUUUUUGUGUAGUGUAUUAUUUUAUUAGUUCAGAGGGAGCUGGUUCAUGUUGUAUAAAUGAAUUGUAAUAGUCCUCUUUACAGGUUUUGGGACAUGAAAUUUGUUUCUUUUA